rfam:Atta colombica isolate Treedump-2 unplaced genomic scaffold scaffold100, whole genome shotgun sequence.
AUCGCUUCUCGGCUCUCUUGAGCUAAGAUCAAAGUGUAGUAUCUGUUCUUAUCAGCUUAAUAUCUGAUACAAUCCCCAUAGGGGAUUCAGAAUAUUAAACUUUUUUUUGAACAAAGGCGGGAAUGUGGGGCUUGCUCCAAUCUUGCCAGGGUCGACCCGAUAUUGCAGUUUAUUCGGGACUGGCCUAAAUAAA